rnacentral:rRNA from 1 species
AUUGCCUUAGUAGCGGCGAGUGAGCGGCAAAAGCUCAAAUUUGAAAUCUGGCGCCUUCGGUGUCCGAGUUGUAAUUUGAAGAUUGUAACCUUGGGGUUGGCUCUUGUCUAUGUUUCUUGGAACAGGACGUCACAGAGGGUGAGAAUCCCGUGCGAUGAGAUGCCCAAUUCUAUGUAAGGUGCUUUCGAAGAGUCGAGUUGUUUGGGAAUGCAGCUCUAAGUGGGUGGUAAAUUCCAUCUAAAGCUAAAUAUUGGCGAGAGACCGAUAGCGAACAAGUACAGUGAUGGAAAGAUGAAAAGAACUUUGAAAAGAGAGUGAAAAAGUACGUGAAAUUGUUGAAAGGGAAGGGUUUGAGAUCAGACUCGAUAUUUUGUGAGCCUUGCCUUCGUGGCGGGGUGACCCGCAGCUUAUCGGGCCAGCAUCGGUUUGGGCGGUAGGAUAAUGGCGUAGGAAUGUGACUUUACUUCGGUGAAGUGUUAUAGCCUGCGUUGAUGCUGCCUGCCUAGACCGAGGACUGCGAUUUUAUCAAGGAUGCUGGCAUAAUGAUCCCAAACCGCCCGUCUUGAACCACGGACCAA